GAUACCCUGGUAGUCCUCGCUGUAAACGAUGUCGACUUGGAGGUUGUGCCCUUGAGGCGUGGCUUCCGGAGCUAACGCGUUAAGUCGACCGCCUGGGGAGUACGGCCGCAAGGUUAAAACUCAAAUGAAUUGACGGGGGCCCGCACAAGCGGUGGAGCAUGUGGUUUAAUUCGAUGCAACGCGAAGAACCUUACCUACUCUUGACAUCCACGGAAUUCGCCAGAGAUGGCUUAGUGCCUUCGGGAACCGUGAGACAGGUGCUGCAUGGCUGUCGUCAGCUCGUGUUGUGAAAUGUUGGGUUAAGUCCCGCAACGAGCGCAACCCUUAUCCUUUGUUGCCAGCACGUAAUGGUGGGAACUCAAAGGAGACUGCCGGUGAUAAACCGGAGGAAGGUGGGGAUGACGUCAAGUCAUCAUGGCCCUUACGAGUAGGGCUACACACGUGCUACAAUGGCAUAUACAAAGAGAAGCGAACUCGCGAGAGCAAGCGGACCUCAUAAAGUAUGUCGUAGUCCGGAUUGGAGUCUGCAACUCGACUCCAUGAAGUCGGAAUCGCUAGUAAUCGUAGAUCAGAAUGCUACGGUGAAUACGUUCCCGGGCCUUGUACACACCGCCCGUCACACCAUGGGAGUGGGUUGCAAAAGAAGUAGGUAGCUUAAC
rnacentral:rRNA from 1 species